GCGUAGGAUAGCUCUGCGGCCUAUCAGGUUGUAGCGAGGGUAACGUCCUCGCUAGCCUACGACGGGUAUGGGUGUUGGGAGACAUCGCCCAGAGAUGGAUUCUGAGACACGAAUCCAGGCCCUACGGGGCGCAGCAGGCGCGAAAACUGCACAAUGUGGGCAACCACGAUGCGGGAAACCCAAGUGCCAGCGCUAUGCGUUGGCUGUCCUCCAGUGUUCGUAACUGGGGAAGAAAGUGCUGGGUAAGACGGGUGCCAGCCGCCGCGGUAAUACCCGCAGCACAAGUGGUGGUCAUUAUUAUUGGGCCUAAAGCGUCCGUAGCUGGCUUGUUAGAUGCCUGGGUAAAUCGAUGCGCUCAACGUAUCGAACUCCGGGUAGACCGGCAAGCUUGGGACCGGGAGAGGCGUGAGCUACUCGAGGGGUAGGGGUAAAAUCCUGUAAUCCUUCGGGGAGGACCAGUGGCGAAGGCGUCACGCUAGAACGGCUCCGACAGUGAGGGACGAAGCCCUGGGGCGCAAACCGGAUUAGAUACCCGGGUAGUCCAGGGUGUAAACGCUGCAGACUUGGUGUCGCUGAUCCUACGAGGGUUGGCGGUGCCGUAGAGAAGUUGUUUAGUCCGCCGCCUGGGGAGUACGGUCGCAAGACUGAAACUUAAAGGAAUUGG
rnacentral:rRNA from 1 species